rnacentral:rRNA from 1 species
ACACGACCCCAGGUCAGGCGGGGACACCCGCUGAGUUUAAGCAUAUCAAUAAGCGGAGGAGAAGAAACUUACCAGGAUUCCCCUAGUAACGGCGAGCGAACCGGGAAGAGCCCAGCUUGGGAAUCGGGCGGCCGCGCCGCUCGAAUUGUAGUCUGGAGAAGCGUCCUCAGCGACGGACCGGGCCCAAGUCCCCUGGAAAGGGGCGCCAGGGAGGGUGAGAGCCCCGUCCGGCCCGGACCCUGCCGCACCACGAGGCGCUGUCGGCGAGUCGGGUUGUUUGGGAAUGCAGCCCCAAUUGGGCGGUAAAUUCCGUCCAAGGCUAAAUAGCGGCGAGAGACCGAUAGCGAACAAGUACCGCGAGGGAAAGAUGAAAAGGACUUUGAAAAGAGAGUCAAAGAGUGCUUGAAAUUGUCGGGAGGGAAGCGGAUGGGGGCCGGCGAUGCGCGCCGGCCGGAUGCGGAACGGUCCCCCCUCAGGGGGCCGGUCCGCCGCUCGGCUCGG